GAGAGAGUGAAAGAGAGACAGAGAGAGACAUACAGAGAGGAAGACAGCAGGAGAGAGAGAGAGAGAAAGGGUAAAUGUGUUGUUUUGGUUUCGGUCCAGAUUGUUAAUGCGGCUCGCUUCUGAUUGAUGGAGUGUCAGUGGUUUGGUUUCUCAUCGCUGUGAGAUGAAUCGAUAAUACACACACACACACACACACACACACACACACACACACACAUACACGCACUGGAGAAAACAGAGGAAUAUCGGAUUAUGACCUCUUGUAAUCCGACAUUCCUUAUUUUCACUGUGAUGACACCGGAGUGUGAUGUUACACCUGUCCACCACAACAGUCACGUAUGAGCAGAUCCAGAGCAACUUCCACGAUGUGCAAAGGCGGUUCCGAAAUAUAUAUAUCUGAACAUAUUAGAGCUUUGUGAUUGGAAUUCGAGACACGAGUCGACUGGAGGAUCGGAGAGAUUACAGAGAAGAACAUGCCGUGAUGGUGAUGAUGAUGAUGGUGAUGAAGUCCCGAGUGCAGGAUUAUAGAGAUGGAGCAGAGCAUUUUGACGUCUGCAUUGCGAGGAGACACGGUUCUGUUCGAUCCUCCGCCUGUUCGAGUAAGCCUGAGACCCGAACUGUUCCUCGAUUUGAGAAACACAGAGGAGCUGAAUGGAGAUCAAAUUUGCCAGGCGGAUAAACCAGACGAGUUCACUUCCUGUAACUGUUAAUUAGUAAGGAUUCGUUGAUUUAAAUUUUUUCAGAUCAGGUAUGAACACAUGGUUGUUGUUUUUUUUUGUAUCCAUCAAUAUUGGUGCCAAAAUGAUUUACCAGUCCGUACAGGAGUGUUUUAUUGUGGGAGACCUACUCGAAUUGGCGAAAUUGCAAUUGCACGAAAUUGUUUCGCAGCGAUCUGACCUUUUUAGCUGUAGCCCGAAGAGGGCUUUGGUUGAAGGCACGUUCUGAUGAUGUCACAUGACGCAUCUUGGCCCAAAUCUGUGGGUAAUUUCUAAAAAUUGCAGGUUCUUCUGAAUAUUGCUUAGAUAAUCUACCAGACUGCGGUAUUGGGCCCAAAUCUGUGGGUAAUUUCUAAAAAUUGCAGGUUCUUCUGAAUAUUGCUUAGAUAAUCUACCAGACUGCGGUAUUGAUUGCCCCAGGCCCUACCUCAGUAAAAUAUUUCAAUUUGAGGCCCCUGCUUUGCCUUCCUAGAAGGCAUGAACUCCAUUUUCUCUGAAAAAAAAAUGCAUGUUCAUGUAAGUUUUGCUCAUUUUUUAAAUAUUAACUAGCUAUAUUCAACUAAGUUAGCAUGUUUCCUUUGCUAAUCCCAGGGUAGACUAGCAUCGACAUAGUUAAACUAGCUAUAACACGAAUUAGCUGGUAUAUAUUGAUUUUUUUACGGGAUAUUUUACUUCUAAUUAAUACUUUAAUGAAGUAUGUAGCGUUAGCCGUGAAUAUUAGGAGCAAACUUGUACAGAUCGAAUGAAAAUCCUUUUCUUACAGUUUUAGAUAAGGAAUAAAAGUUACUUUUUUGUUUACAUGAAAACAUAACAUGAACUUACUCGAGUACAAUUUUAAUUGAGUAAUAUUUUGACAUUAUCACUUUUAUUCAGCUAGUGAGGUUACAUUAGCUGUUCACUGAAACACUACCACACUCUUGAUCUAACACUAACAUUCAGAUUAAAUCUAGAAAAUAUAGUCACCUUUCCACAGUCUAAAGUUAUUAUCUCGGGUCAUUACCUCAUCAUAAUAUACGCACGUAAAACAUAUGUUCACCUCAGACUUUUAUCAGUAAUCUCCAACUAUGAUUGGUAUAACCCUGGUAUAACAAUCACACGCAUUUGAGAAUGAAAACAUAAAUGGCGUCGAACUAAAUUGAGCUAAGCAUGGAAGGAGAGCCUCCUGAACAAUAGAAAAGCUCUUCGUGCUGCUACAUCAACGUAUCUCUCCACCCUAACAGAAGAUAACAAAAAUAAUCCUAGAUUCUUAUUUAAGAAUCUAUUUGUCGGAACCCCGGAUCAGGAAGGCUACAGCAGGGGGCGGAGCUUGCUCUUGCAAAGCUCCACAGUUACGGAACAGCCUUCCAAUACUGUACGUGUUUGGGACUCUAGGCUAAUUAGUCUUUAAGUCUAGGCUGAAAACACAUUGUUUUUUCUUUAGGUAUAGGAGCAGAUCUGAAGGGCUCACAAGCAUCGAGUGUUGUGGUGAACUGGGAUGUUUGGAUACUGUCACCCCCCCCCUCCACACUUUCGUGCAUUCACCUAGGAUUGUUGAUGGUGGAGCUGGUCUUUUCGGAGUCCCUGCUUGCACUCUGCACACAAUGUACAUUGUCCUUAACCGUUACGGGGCAAUGAACAUACCUAAUAAUCUCUCUCUCUCUCUCUCUCUCUCUCUCUCUCUCGCGUGUGCGACACGAUACUCCUGAAAUAACAACGAUCCUGGCUCUCUGGGCCAGCCCGAUCCAUCCUGAUGCCCUACUUCACAUUGGAGUUCUCAUCACUUGGAAAUCACUCGCUACUGCUGAGGAUGGCCCCACAUGGUGCAGCCUAAAGGUACAUGAGAUUACUGAGGAUGGUACCACUUAGAAACCAUGAAGAUGGCUUUGGAGUGAAGCACACUGAACGAAGUGUGUUGGGUGAGACGUGUUGGAUAAAGCACGUUGGAUGAAGUGUUCAAUGAAACAUCGAUACAUGCUGGAUCAACCAUGUUGGUUGAGGUGUGCUGGGUGAAGCAUGUCAGAUGAGACAAGCUGGAAAAAGUGUCUUGGAUGAGGCAUGGGGAAUGAAACCUGUUGGAUGACGCUUAUUGGAUGAAGCAUGGUGAAUGAAGUGGGUUGGACAAAGCAUGUUGGAUGAAGCAUGUUUAUGGUGGUGUGGAUAAUAAGACAAUGUUAUAAAGGGCAAAAUAAUCAA